rnacentral:rRNA from 1 species
GCUAAACGCGAAGAACCUUACCUACACUUGACAUACCUCUUGGGACUUUCAGAGAUGAUUGUCUUCGGUUCGGCCGGGGAGGAUACAGGUGCUGCAUGGCUGUCGUCAGCUCGUGUCGUGAGAUGUUGGGUUAAGUCCCGCAACGAGCGCAACCCUUAUCGUAUGUUGCCAGCAUUUAGUUGGGUACUCAUGCGAGACUGCCGGUGUUAAGCCGGAGGAAGGUGGGGAUGACGUCAAGUCAUCAUGGCCUUUACGUGUAGGGCUACAAACGUACUACAAUGGCGGUGACAGUGGGCAGCUACCUCGCGAGGGGAAGCUAAUCCCAAAAAGCCGUCUCAGUUCAGAUUGUUCUCUGCAACUCGAGAGCAUGAAGUCGGAAUCGCUAGUAAUCGUGGAUCAGCAUGCCACGGUGAAUACGUUCCCGGGUCUUGUACACACCG